rnacentral:rRNA from 1 species
AGAAUCAACGCUGGCGGCGUGCCUAACACAUGCAAGUCGAACGAGAAAGUGGAGCAAUCCAUUAGUAAAGUGGCGCACGGGUGAGUAACACGUGACUAACCUACCCUUGAGUGGGGGAUAACCUAGGGAAACCUGGGCUAAUACCGCAUAAUACCUUCGGGUCAAAGGAGCAAUUCGCUUAAGGAGGGGGUCGCGGCAGAUUAGCUAGUUGGCGGGGUAAUGGCCCACCAAGGCAGUGAUCUGUA